CCUGUCCAAUAGCGGAAGCGCUGUCGCCCAAGCUCAUUAUUUAGCGGUUAUGUUCGUGAUAGUGUCGUAUGAAUCAAGUGACGGCAACUCACAGAUGAAAUAAACUCGGACCCCGCUCCCUUGGGGACUGCCGGAAACACCCCCAAGUGCCCAGGUCAGUCCAAGGGAAGCACCACAAACUGGCGUGAGCCCCGGCAUCAACCGGCUCCAACUAGACCCCCCGGGAAGGGCAGGCGAGCCAGACAAAAACGCCCCACAAGCCAGGCCACCACGAGUGAGCCACCGCAUCUGCAUCUGUCUGUGUGCAUUGGUUUUCUAGUGAAAUGAACAGAGAGAGUGGGCCCUCAUCUCAUUUAGCCUCUUUGUGGAGGCGGGGCUACUAGGGUUUAGCAGUGAGCUUUGUGAGGCAGCAUACGCUAACAUGAAGAAGGCACGGAAGCAAUGGGUUUUGAGGGGAAUGCCACAAACAUUUCAGUUUUAAACAGAAUGAACACGGUGACCGCAUGAACACCGACGACCGACACGGACAGUUUUCUCAACUGGGAAAAAAAAAAUGCCGACGUAGGUGCCUCGGGCAGCAGAGCCUUCGUCCCGACAGUCAACGCUUACUGAGGCAUUUGGUCAGCGAAUAUAACCAAAACAGUGCAAAAUGGUGCACUCUCAUAAACAGUGUCGCUGUCUACAUUGCAAAAACAUACAUACAGGCAACUUCUGUGUCACGCUGUCUCGCACAGGUACACCGUAUACUAUACAUGAUUACCAUCUAGUGGUUCAAAUGUGCAGUACACCUCUCAUGACAAUUAACGGAAAAAUGGUCAGAAAAAAUUGUAUCGAUAAAAUCGAUUAUCGACGAUAAUUUGCAGCACAACUAUCGACCAGCAAAAUUUGUUAUGGUGACAGGCCUAGAGCUACCUUUGCUGAACACGCAAGUCCGGCUUUCAACUCGACACAGCUCGCUAACCCACUAAACCCGCUUCACCGUUUGCCCCCUAAGUGUUCCAGUUGAAUGUAAACAAAAAACAUCACCACCACAAGAAGAUAGUAUUUGUUUUGCUUGUAUACACAAAGUUCGUGGGGCAAGUACUAAAAUGUGUUCAAGGUUGGCAGGUCUGUAGUGUAUAAUAGAUCAAAGAAAUGUAGUCACAUGUCCAGUUUGAGUGUGCAAACCACACAACAUGAAGACGUCCAUAGACUGACCAGUGUUUGAAGCAGCUUACAGCAGGAAGGAAGCCUCUGGUCACAUCUUCUAUGCUCUCUCUGCCCCCCUUUCUCUUUCUUCCCCAUCCUUUAACCUCCCCACCACCACCACCCUCACAUCUCCCUCAAGGUUUCUCUGUAUGCCAACUCACACCUGACAUUCAAAUAUGGCCGAUGGAGAGGUGUAGCAACGUGGAGAGAGGAGAGCAGUAAAAGCCAAAGAGAGCCGUCAGCGUAGAGAAGGGUCACGAUGAAGGAGAAAUGUGUUAAUAAAAUGACAACAAAGGAUGACGACAGCGAGCCGGUGAAUAUAGGGGAUGGAGAUAAGGGGAGUUGGGUUUGGGCUUAACACUCCAGUCUAAUCUCCCACAGGGACAAAGACGUGUUAACAAGCCUUCCAGAUCCAUGAAAAGGACGACGCUUGCUCCCAAAUACUGUUUAUGUGGUGCGCUGUGGACAUUGUAGCGUGUUGAUGUAUUUUGUGUGUACUCACUGAUGAAGGAGAAAAGGUAUGCAGAAAAGACCGGCCCCCUUGAUGACCCCUGAGCUUGAGGAAGACCAAAACAUCACACUGAGCCAGGUGGGGUGAGGAGUGAGGUUGCUCCAGCAUGGCAACGUUCUCCUCAGCCAGGAACUGUCGGAUGCUCAGGGCAUUGUGAGCAGGAACUCGCAGUGGACGAUGCUGCUCACAUGGAAGAAUGCGAUCAACAUUCCAGAAUGCUGCAGCUGAAUGAAUAAAAUAUGCUUGCUGGCCGCAGCAUUAGGUACACCUCUACAAUGAGAUGCAACACAAGAGACGUAUCAGACAACAGCUAGGAAGGCCAAAAAAAUCCUAAUUGGGAUCAAAUGUACUCCAUGCUCACUAUAAAUGUUGUCAUUAAAGGCCCCGAAUAUGCAAAAGUGACUUUUGAAUGAUGUUUGGACUUUGGAUUGCACUAUUUAAAGUAAAUCAUGAAUCAUGGCAAGCUAUACCAACCUCUGUUCAUCCUGAUUUUGUAUUGCAUCUUUAGCACAUUGUUUGGACUCAUUGAUAACUUAUUCUUAAGUAUGUCAGCAUUAUUAAUAAUUUAUACCUGAUUCCCUUACAAAAAACAACGGGAGUCUAGGAAACUUCACCUGCACUGUCCAGUGUCCAGGUAUUUAUUUCACAGUCACACUGGUUGGACUUUUGGCUAAAAAGUUCCAAAAUCGUUCUUGAAUCGUAUCGGCAACCACGAAUCGUGAUACAAAUCAAAUCGUGAUUAAAAGGAAUCGUUACACCCCUGGUUUCAACACGUCAAAGCUUAACAGCAGAGGUGGGAGUCUCAAGCCAAGUCUCAAGUAAAGAUGUGCAAGUCCAAGUCAUGUCUCAAGUCAAGUCCCAAGUCAUAGGCUUGAAAUGUUCCUACAAGUCAUAAGCACUGUUUUGUGUUUACCAAAAUAAAAUGCAAUUUUCACAAUGUAACAAUCUUUUACAUUUGACAAACACAGUGAAUGCAUUUUGGAUUGUUUUGUUAGUUAAAUAAAAUAAGACCAACGUGACAAGACUGAAAAAGAGUGCUGACACAGCAUUCUGCAUUUACAGUAGUUUACAAAUAUAAUCCAUACACUUGUUGUCUGUACUUAAACCUGAUUAGCACGCUUUAGAUCGUGCAUCUGUACCUAAUGAAAUGUCUGGGGGGGGGGGGAAUCCAUCUUUUUUUGGUCCACAAAUUAGAUUUAGUCAAAUUGUUUGCCGAUUGUGUUUAAUGACCACAAAACACAGCAGCACGCCCUUAAUGUGAGUGAUACCUCCGCAAAUGUCAACACGCAAUAUUCCAUCUUGCACUGACCCCAAACUCUGUCUCCAGCGGCGUGUGAGUCAAUGCUGUUGUGCGUAGUUAAAGACUAAUUGUGUUCUGUGUCGCCCUCUGAGAGGAGACAAGAGGGGGAGGUAAACGAAAACACCGAAAGUGAUCAUUAUGAGUGACUGCUGGCUCUUCUGGUGCUGCUAACAAAGCACAAAUCCAUGUCUGUUAG